UACGUAGGGUGCGAGCGUUGUCCGGAAUUAUUGGGCGUAAAGAGCUUGUAGGCGGUUUGUCGCGUCUGCCGUGAAAUUUCGAGGCUCAACCUUGGGCUUGCAGUGGGUACGGGCAGACUAGAGUGCGGUAGGGGUGACUGGAAUUCCUGGUGUAGCGGUGGAAUGCGCAGAUAUCAGGAGGAACACCGAUGGCGAAGGCAGGUCACUGGGCCGCAAACUGAC
rnacentral:rRNA from 1 species